UACGUAGGGUGCGAGCGUUGUCCGGAAUUAUUGGGCGUAAAGGGCUCGUAGGCGGUUUGUCACGUCGGGAGUGAAAACUCGGGGCUUAACCCCGAGCCUGCUUCCGAUACGGGCAGACUAGAGGUAUGCAGGGGAGAACGGAAUUCCUGGUGUAGCGGUGAAAUGCGCAGAUAUCAGGAGGAACACCGGUGGCGAAGGCGCCCACCUGGCCUGCUACUGACGCUGAAACUCGAAAGCUAGGGGAGCAAACGGG
rnacentral:rRNA from 1 species